rnacentral:rRNA from 1 species
GAUGAACGCUGGCGGCGUGCCUAAUACAUGCAAGUCGAGCGAACAGACGCGGAGCUUGCUCCUCUUUCGUUAGCGACGGACGGGUGAGUCGUACGUAGCUAACCUACCUCUAAGACUUAGAUAACGGCGGGUAACCCUAGCAAAUACCGGAUAAUAUCUUCACCCGCAUGGUUCUAGAGUGAAUUACGGGUUUUCUGUCACUUAUAGACGUAUCCGCGCCGCAUUAGCUAGUUGGUACGGUAACGGCUUACCAAGGAAACGAUGCGUAGCCGACCGGAGAGGGUGAUCGGCGGCACUGGAAGUGAGACACGGACCAGACGACUACGGGAGGCAGCAGUAGGCAAUGUUCCGCAGUGGGCGAAAGCAUGACGGAGCAACGGCGAGUGAGUGGUGAAGGUCUUCGGAGCGUGAAGCUCUGUUAUUAGGUAAAAACAAAUGUGUAAGUAGCUGUGCACGUCUUGACGGUACCUGAACAGGAAGCCACGGCUAACUACGUG